GUUUUUUUUAUUGAAUGCAGUAUCUUCAAGCUGUACUUCAAAGGUGGAGAUGGGGAACAGGUUUAAUGUCAGAUAGCUUGGAAAUGAUAGCAAAUCAUCAUUCCUUCUUAGAAACCCAUGGUGCCUUCUGUGUGUCAGAAGCUCUUGAGAUGUGCUGCAAACAGAUCUGUUUUGACCUGAAUCCCCUAAACUUUGAGUGCCUUUUAAAGAUGCAAUGCUGAUGAAUAAAACAGUAAGCUAGGAACACACUCUAGAACACUGGCAUGAAGACUGUGAGGCGGAUAUUCUGAGGACGUGAAAGUGCCCGGGGACGGAGCCCUGGGAAGGCUGGCGGAGAGAACACAGAUGGCAUUGGACAGCAGCACUCACCUGAGUUUUGAUCACACCUUGUAAAGACACUCAUGAAGGAGGACUUACAGACCUGCUUUAAAAAGUGAACAGGCUCGAGACAGACUGGGAGGAGAAAGUCGUGGGGCGUCAGGAAGAGCCCAAAGUGCUGCCACCCAGAGCCAAGGAGCGCUGAGGCUGGCUGGUGUUGCCAGAGGGAGGAAGAGGAUUGUCUCUGGAGGUUUCUGAGGGAGAUGGCCCUGCGACACCCUGAUCUCAGCUUCCAGCCUCCUGAACUGUGGGACCACAGACUUCUGUUGUUCAGAGGCACCAGAGCCUCGCUCCUUUCCUGAGACCCAGGGAGCUGGCAAAGGACUAACCUUGUGGGACUACUUGGACGAUGGAAUGGAAGAAGGCUCUUGGGCCAUGCUGUUUCUGCCUUGGAGCCAACCGUGCAUGGACUGAACCCAAUAAAAUCUUGAAACGAUUCCAGGAGCCUCAACUAGCAAUCAAGUUGGGAGAAAAGUACACAGCACGUUCUCCAAACCCAGCCGUUCCUUGAGCUGUGGUGGGGCCCGGCACCCUUGUUUCCUUUCCCAGGAUUCACCGUGAGCGGUGGGCAGAGUCUGGGAACAGCCUAAUGACUGAGGACACUUCAUUCCCAGCGACCGAAGGGAUGAGUGAGAAUGCUGGCCAGUCUCAAGUGUAUGUUUAAAGCACUAGAAGUCACAAAAUUUCACAUUGAUUGAAGAAUAUGUAGGAAACUUCUAAAAAUAAAAAGUACUAUAAUGUUUUAUACAA
rnacentral:lncRNA from 1 species